CUCGUAGGCGGUCUGUCGCGUCGGAAGUGAAAACCCGGAGCUCAACUCCGGGCCUGCUUUCGAUACGGGCAGACUUGAGUACUGCAGGGGAGACUGGAAUUCCUGGUGUAGCGGUGGAAUGCGCAGAUAUCAGGAGGAACACCGGUGGCGAAGGCGGGUCUCUGGGCAGAAACUGACGCUGAGGAGCGAAAGCGUGGGAGCGAACA
rnacentral:rRNA from 1 species